UACCAACAUGUCUGUGUCUACUGAUGGUGUGGUAAGCACUUCACAGAUUCCUGCUUCGGAACAAAAGACCCCGGUUAGACCAAAGCCAUUACUUUUAAAGUUACUAAAGUCUGUUGGUGCCUCAAAAGACAUUUAUACUAUGAAAGAGGUCAUAUUUUAUCUUGGCCAGUAUAGUAUGGCUAAAAGAUUGUAUGAUGAGAAACAGCAACAUAUCGUGUAUUGUUCGAAUGAUCUUCUAGGAGAUUUGUUUGGAGUUUCAAGCUUCUCUGUGAAAGAGCACAGGAAAAUAUAUACCGUGAUCUACAGAAACUUGAUAGUACUCUAUCAGCAGGAACCAUCAGACUCUGGUACAUCUAUGAGUGAGGACACCUAUCUCCCUGAAGAGGGGAGUGACCAAGAAGACCCUGAGUGAGAUCUACAAGAAAGGAGUCCUUCAUCUUCAGAUUUGGUUCCUACACCAUCUACCUCAUCUAGGAGGAGAACAAUUAGUGAGACAGAAGAAAGCUCAGAUGAAUGGUCUGGUGAAUGAUGAAGAAAACGCCACAAAUCAGAUAGUAUUUCCCUUUCUUUUGAUGCAAGCUUGGCUGUGUGUGUACUAAGGGAGAUUCGUUGUGAAAGAAGUAAUAGCAGGGACUCGACAGAGACUCCAUCAAAUCUGGACCUGGAUGAUGGUGUAAGUGAACAUUCAGGUGAUUGGUUGGAUCAGGGUUCAGUUUCUGAUCAAUUCAGUGCAGAAUUUAAAGUUGAGUCUCUUGAUUCAGAAGGUUAUAGUCUUAGUGCAGAAGCACAAGAACUCUCAGAUGAAGAUGAUGAGGUAUAUCGAGCUACUGUGUUUAAGACAGGAGAAAGUGAUACAGAUUCAUUUGAAGAAGAUCCUGAAAUUUCCUUAGCUGACUAUUGGAAGUGUACUUUAUGCCGUGAAAUGAAUCCUCCCCUUCCGUCACACUGCAACAGAUGUUGGGCCCUUCGUGAGAACUGGCUUCCUGAACAUAAAGGGAAGGAUAAGGGAGGAUCUCUGAAAAAAAAACCAGAUAAAAAAUUCAACACAGGCAGAUGAGGGCUUGGGUGUACCUGAUGGUAGAAAGACUUUGGCAAAUGAUUCUAGAGUCAUUUGUUGAAGAAAGUAAUGAUAAAUCCAUAUAAGCCUCCCUGUCACAAAAAGGUGAGGACUACUCUCAGCCAUCAACUUCUGGUAGUAUUAUUAAUAGCAGCCAAGAAGAUGUUAAAGAGUUUGGGAAGGAAGAAACACAAGACAAAGAAGAUAGCGUGGAAUCUGGUUUUCCCCUUAAUGCCAUUGAACCUUGUGUGAUUCGCCAAGGUCGACCUCAAAAUGGUUACAUUGUUCAUGGCAAAACAGGACACCUUAUGUCAAGUUUCACAUGUGCAAAGAAGCUGAAGAAAAGAAAUAAGCCCUGCCCAGUGUGCAGACAAGCAAUUCAAAUGAUUGUGCUAACUUAUUUCAACUAGCUGACAUCCAUAAAA